GCCCCGUAGCUCAAUUGGAUAGAGCAUCCGACUACCGACCGGGAGGUUGCGGGUUCGAGUCCCGCCGGGGGCGCCA
rnacentral:tRNA from 1 species